rnacentral:rRNA from 1 species
AUACGUAGGGGGCGAGCGUUGUCCGGAAUGAUUGGGCGUAAAGGGCGCGUAGGCGGCCCGGUAAGUCUGGAGUGAAAGUCCUGUUUUUAAGAUGGGAAUUGCUUUGGAUACUGUCGGGCUUGAGUGCAGGAGAGGUAAGUGGAAUUCCCAGUGUAGCGGUGAAAUGCGUAGAGAUUGGGAGGAACACCAGUGGCGAAGGCGACUUACUGGACUGUAACUGACACUGAGGCACGAAAGCGUGGGGAGCAAACAGGAUUAGAUACCCUGGUAGUCCACGCCGUAAACGAUGAGCACUAGGUGUCGGGGGGAAGAACCCUCGGUGCCGCAGUUAACGCAAUAAGUGCUCCGCCUGGGGAGUACGCACGCAAGUGUAAAACUCAAAGGAAUUGACGGGG